AGUGAACGCUGGCGGCGUGCCUAACACAUGCAAGUCGAACGAUGAUGGAGAGCUUGCUCUCCUGAUUAGUGGCGCACGGGUGAGUAUACCAUAGAUAAUGUACCCCUUAGUUCGGGAUAGCCACUGGAAACGGUGAUUAAUACCGGAUACUCCUUCUUGUCUAAAGGCGAGUCGGGAAAGUUUUUUCGCUAAGGGAUCAGUCUAUGUCCUAUCAGCUAGUUGGUGAGGUAAUGGCUCACCAAGGCUAUGACGGGUAUCUGGUUUGAGAGGAUGAUCAGACACACUGGAACUGAGACACGGUCCAGACUCCUACGGGAGGCAGCAGUGAGGAAUAUUGCACAAUGGAGGAAACUACUGAUGCGGCAACGACCGCGUGGAGGAUGACGCAUUUCGGUGUGUAAACUCCUUUUAAGAGGGAAGAUUAUGACGGUACCUCUUGAAUAAGCACCGGCUAACUCCGUGCCAGCAGCCGCGGU
rnacentral:rRNA from 1 species